ACCAGAGCGGGCAAUGGGAUGCCGAGGGGGACAAGAAACCAAGAAGCAAUCUAGCUCCCCUUUCACAUUGAACCAGAGGUCCCCUGGGGGCGAGCGGGCACACAAGUUGGGAGCUUUACUGACCGUCUGCGUCAAAGUGCUUCCAGAUCUCCAGGAACUGGGACGCCGUCAGCUCGGCCAGGUGCAGACUCCUCCCUACUUUCCUCAGAGAUGAUUGCAAAUUAAUGUGUGCA